UACGUAGGUGGCGAACGUUAUCCGGAGUGACUGGGUGUAAAGGGUCCGUAGGCGGGCCGGCAAGUCUGACGUGAAAGCGCCCGGCUCAACUGGGCGAGUGCGUUGGAAACUGCCAGUCUUGAAUCACGCAGAGGUCGGCGGAAUUCCCGGUGUAGUGGUGGAAUGCGUAGAGAUCGGGAGGAACCUCGAAAGCGAAGGCAGCCGACUGGGGGAUGAUUGACGCUGAGGGACGAAAGCGUGGGGAGCGAACAGG
rnacentral:rRNA from 1 species